rnacentral:rRNA from 1 species
CCUACGGGAGGCAGCAGUAGGGAAUAUUGCUCAAUGGGGGAAACCCUGAAGCAGCAACGCCGCGUGGCGGAUGAAGGUUUUCGGAUUGUAAACUCCUUUUGUUAGAGAAGAUAAUGACGGUAUCUAACGAAUAAGCACCGGCUAACUCCGUGCCAGCAGCCGCGGUCAUACGGAGGGUGCAAGCGUUACUCGGAAUCACUGGGCGUAAAGAGCGCGUAGGCGGGAUAGCAAGUCAGAUGUGAAAUCCUAUGGCUUAACCAUAGAACUGCAUUUGAAACUGUUAUUCUAGAGUAUGGGAGAGGUAGGUGGAAUUCUUGGUGUAGGGGUAAAAUCCGUAGAGAUCAAGAGGAAUACUCAUUGCGAAGGCGACCUGCUAGAACAUAACUGACGCUGAUGCGCGAAAGCGUGGGGAGCAAACAGGAUUAGAUACCCCAGUAGUC